AGAAAGACGUUGACGAGGACGAGUAAGCUCCGCCCGGACGGUACAGAGAGCAGGAAAUAGUGAGAACCUGCCCGCACAGCGCAGUUGAAUGGACCUAUGAGUUGCAGGGUGAACGCUUACGAGAGUAGCCAGUAGCCCGCGCCGGGUAUGCCACCGUUAUCAAGGCAAAGGGUAUCGCCACCAUUGAGCAGGCCGUACCCGAAAAGAGUGAGGCUGGCCGUUCCCUUUGUGCAUCACAAAGGGAUUUUUUAUUCAAACAGCAGCCUAACCGGGGUGGCACCGCGGAUUUAUGUUCGUCCCCACG
rnacentral:ncRNA from 1 species